GCCGGGUGUGGUGGCUCACGCCUGUAAUCCCAGUACUUUGGGAGGCUGAGGCAGGUGGUUCACUUGAGUCCAGGAGUUGGAGACCAGCCUGGCCAACACAGUGAAAUCCUGUCUCUA
rnacentral:SRP_RNA from 2 species